UCCUUGAUGGUCUAGUGGGAAAGUAGCGAUCUUCCUGCUGACAAAGACUAAAUCUAACAUUUCUACUUAGCUAUGAUUUCCGCUUGUCAUUCUGGCAAGCCGCGGGAGACCAGGGUUCGAUUCCCUGUCAGGGAG